GACGAACGCUGGCGGCGUGCUUAACACAUGCAAGUCGUACGGUAAGGCCCUUUCGGGGGUACACGAGUGGCGAACGGGUGAGUAACACGUGAGUAACCUGCCCACAACUUUGGGAUAACGCUAGGAAACUGGUGCUAAUACUGGAUAUGUGCUCCUGCUGCAUGGUGGGGGUUGGAAAGCUCCGGCGGUUGUGGAUGGACUCGCGGCCUAUCAGCUUGUUGGUGGGGUAGUGGCCUACCAAGGCGGCGACGGGUAGCCGGCCUGAGAGGGUGACCGGCCACAUUGGGACAGAGAUACGGCCGAGCCACCGACGGGAGGCAGCAGUGGGGAAGAUUGCACAAUGGCCGCCAGCCUGAUGCAGCUACGCCGCGGGCAGGAUGACUGCCUUCGGGUUGUAAGCCGCUUACAGCAGGGACGAAGCUUUGUGUGAGGUGACCUGCAGAAGAAGCACCGGCUCACUACGUG
rnacentral:rRNA from 1 species